rnacentral:rRNA from 1 species
UACGUAGGGUGCGAGCGUUUGUCCGGAAUUAUUGGGCGUAAAGAGCUCGUAGGCGGCUUGUCGCGUCGGAUGUGAAAGCCCGGGGCUUAACUUCGGGUCUGCAUUCGAUACGGGCAGGCUAGAGUUCGGUAGGGGAGAUCGGAAUUCCUGGUGUAGCGGUGAAAUGCGCAGAUAUCAAGGAGGAACACCGGUGGCGAAGGCGGAUCUCUGGGCCGAUACUGACGCUGAGGAGCGAAAGCGUGGGGAGCGAACAGG